GAGGGUGGAGCUCAGUGGUAGAGCACGCGGUUAGUAUGCACGUGGUCCUGGGUUCCGUCUCCAGUACCCUCA
rnacentral:tRNA from 1 species